rnacentral:rRNA from 1 species
AUUCCGGUUGAUCCUGCCAGAGGUCACUGCUAUUGGGAUUCGACUAAGCCAUGCGAGUCGUGAGGGUUCGGCCCUCGGCAGACGGCUCAGUAACACGUAGAUAAUUUGCCCUUAGGUGGAGGAUACCCUCGGGAAACUGAGAAUAAUACUCCAUAGAUCUAGACUGCUGGAAUGCUUUUAGAUUGAAAGAUUUAUCGCCUAAGGAUAAGUCUGCGGACUAUCAGGUCGUAGUUAGGGUAACUACCUGACUAGCCUACGACGGAUACGGGUUGUGAGAGCACUAGCCCGGAGAUGAUAUCUGAGACACGAUAUCAGGCCCUACGGGGCGCAGCAGGCGCGAAAACUUCGCACUGUGCGAAAGCACGACGAGGGAAUCCCAAGUGCUGGCUCGUAAGAGUCAGCUGUUUCUUUGUCUAAAAAACAGAGAGAGUAAGGGCUGGGUAAGACGGGUGCCAGCCGCCGCGGUAAUACCUGCAGCCCAAGUGGUGGCCGCUAUUAUUGGGCCUAAAACGUCCGUAGCCGGUUCUAUAAAUGCCUGGGUAAAUCGUACGGCUUAACCGUACGAAUUCCGGGUAGACUGUUUAACUUGGGACCGGGAGAGGCUAGAGGUACUCCUGGGGUAGAGGUGAAAUUCUGUAAUCCUAGGGGGACCACCAGUGGCGAAGGCGUCUAGCUAGAACGGGUCUGACGGUGAGGGACGAAGCCCUGGGGAGCAAACGGGAUUAGAUACCCCGGUAGUCCAGGGUGUAAACGCUGCUCGCUUGAUGUUAGUCGGGCUCCGAGCCCAACUAGUGUCGGAGAGAAGUUGUUAAGCGAGCUGCCUGGGGAGUACGGUCGCAAGACUGAAACUUAAAGGAAUUGGCGGGGAGGCC